rnacentral:rRNA from 1 species
UACGGCAGUGGCAAGCGUUAUCCGGAAUUAUUGAGCGUAAAGCACCCGCAAGCGCUCUGUCAUGUCUGCUGUUAAAGCGCGAAGCUUAACUCCGUUUCGGCAGUGGAAACUGACAGACUACAGUGUGGUAGGGGCAGAGGUAAUUCCCGGUGUAGCGGUGAGAUGCGUACAUAUCGGGAAGAACACCAUGUGUGAGAAGGCGCUCUGCCUGGGCCAUAACUGACGCUCAUGGACGAAAGCCAGGGGAGCGAAAGGGAUUAGAUACCCCUGUCGUCCUGGCCGUAAACGAUGAACACUAGGUGUCGGGGGAAUCGCCCCCCUCGGCGUCGUACCCACCGCGCUAACUCUUCCGCCUGGGGAGUGCGCACGCCAGUGUGAAACUCAAAGGAAUUGACCGGGGCCCGCACAAGCGGUGGAGUAUGUGGUUUAAUUCGAUGCAACGCGAAGAACCUUACCAGGGUGAGACAUCCUCCGAAUCUCUUGGAAUCGAGAGAGUGCCCUCGGGAACCCAGCGACAGGUGGUGCACGUCUGUCGUCACCUCGUGUCGUGAGAUGGUGGCUCAAGUUCCGCAACGAGCGCAACGCACGUCGUUAGCGGCCAGCAUUUAGUCGGGCACUCUAGCGAGACCCCCGGUGAUAAACCGGAGGAAGGUGAGGAAGACGUCAAGUCAUCAUGCCCCUUUCAUCCUGGGCUACACACGUACUACAAUGCACGGACAAAGGGCAGCAAACUCGCGAGAGCUAGCAAAUCCCAUAAACCGAGGCUCACGUUCAGAUCGUAGGCUGCAACUCGCCUACGUGAAGGAGGAAUCGGUAGUAAUCGCAGGUCAGCAUUCCGCGGUGAAUACGCUCCCGGGCCU